UUCAGAGUUAGAGUUGGUCCAGAGCUAGUUAGCCCAGAGUUAGCCAAGCAGAGGCUACAGGUGAGUGGAACUACACUUUAUAAUUUUAAAUUCAGAAAUGACAUACUUCUAGCAUGUUCCAUGCAUCAUAAAAUGCCAUGUUUUAUAUUAGGUUGUAUUGCAUUCGUUUCACGAAUUUGAUGCAUUGCAUAAGAUGAUAUUUGUAUGGAUGAAUGUUGGAUGAUCCUUAGCCCUUAAUAGAGCACAGAGUACAGAUACA
rnacentral:lncRNA from 1 species